ACCCGUCCCUCUUGAGUCUCAGUCUCACGCUGCUCCCAACUCGCAACUCACAGCAGGUCGCCGUCGCAGAAGCAGCAGUGCCGCACGUCGCCGUUGCAGCAGCAGUGGUGCCGCACGUCGCAGCAGCGCCGCACAUCCAUUCUGCAAUUUCAAAGAUAUUGUAUCAGAUUGUCAAAGGAUGCAGUUUCUAAAAGACAUCGUACCUGCUGCAUUGAACAAUAUAAACACAAAAUUUAUUGUUUUGGACAAAGGGAGGAUAGAUUUAGAAGGGCAACACAAGACGUGUUUGGCACUAGUUGCAGAUGAGACAGCUGCGGUUCACUUUCAAAUGUGGGGUGAUGAAUGUGAUGUUUUUGAGCCUGGGGAUAUCAUCCGGUUAGAAAAUGGCAUCUUUUCUUAUAUUCGCAAUAACCGCAGUAACCAUGUACUAAGGGCAGGUAAGCGAGGCAAGGCAGAAAAGGUGGGAGAGUUUACCAUGGCCUAUGUGGAGAAACCAAACAUGAGUGAGAUACAUUGGGUCCCUGAUCCCAAGAAUCCUAAGAUAUAUUUGCCAGUGGAUUUUACUUCUCACAUUUCACCAACACAUUGAGUAUUGGGCAAACUUAUAUCUGACAGUUAAGACUUGGAAGUAAUAUCAGCUUGAUCAUAACUACAGAGAGUAGAGAUUAACUACUCUUCAACAGAAAGCAGGCUGGAACAUCGGUUGAGUUGCUGCUUUCAUUUGAUGAGCUGAUUCCAUGACAAUUACAGCUUACAAAAGAAAUUUCACUCUUUCUAUGGCUUAUGAGCAGGAAUAAAGGAGGUGAAAAGGUUACUUUUGAGUAGCUGCAAAACAGUGUCAUCUUGAGGGAGUUGAAUGAAUUUCAAACUUGAGCUGAAAUUGGUUAAUGAUUGAAUAUAAGAAGGGAGUUUGUUGUCAUGAGGUGAUUGGAUAAUGAGAACUGUAAUGGACAUGUUUUUUUCUCUAGUUAUGAGAAGCUUUGCCAUUUCUACUGUGGAUACUAAAUGACCAAUUAGUGGACUAGGAAUGAAGAUCAACUCUAUUUUCUUGGUACUUGUCAUUUUUUCUUCUUUUUUUUGGGUACAAACUUGUACUUUUGAUAUUGCUUGAAACUUAAAAGAGGAAAGUGGAGUUUGUGAAUGGAGUGUAA